rnacentral:rRNA from 1 species
AUUAGAGUUUGAUCAUGGCUCAGAUUGAACGCUGGCGGCAGGCCUAACACAUGCAAGUCGAACGGUAGCACAGAGAGCUUGCUCUUGGGUGACGAGUGGCGGACGGGUGAGUAAUGUCUGGGAAACUGCCCGAUGGAGGGGGAUAACUACUGGAAACGGUAGCUAAUACCGCAUAACGUCUUCGGACCAAAGUGGGGGACCUUCGGGCCUCACACCAUCGGAUGUGCCCAGAUGGGAUUAGCUAGUAGGUGGGGUAAUGGCUCACCUAGGCGACGAUCCCUAGCUGGUCUGAGAGGAUGACCAGCCACACUGGAACUGAGACACGGUCCAGACUCCUACGGGAGGCAGCAGUGGGGAAUAUUGCACAAUGGGCGCAAGCCUNGAUGCAGCCAUAGCCGCGUGUAUGAAGAAGGCCUUCGGGUUGUAAAG